rfam:Oryzias latipes DNA, chromosome15, strain: Hd-rR.
GGCGCUGUAGCUUAGUUGGUUUAAGCGCCUGUCUAGUAAACAGGAGAUCCUGCGUCCAAAUCCCAGCAGUGCCU